GAUGAACGCUGGCGGCGUGCGUAACACAUGCAAGUUGAACGACGGUGUCAUGAAGUGGUAACACAGAAUGGCAUACGGAGUAGCGGACGGGUGAGUACAACAUGAGAAGCUGUCCUUCAGUGGGGGACAACGUCUGGAAGCGGACGCUAAUACCCCAUAGGCCGAGAGGUUAAAGCAGAGAUGCGCUGGAGGAGGUGCUCGUGCCCUAUCAGCUAGUUGGUGAGGUAACGGCUCACCAAGGCGACGACGGGUAGCCGGCCUGAGAGGGUGAACGGCCACACUGGAACUGAGAUACGGUCCAGACUCCUACGGGAGGCAGCAGUGGGGAAUAUUGGGCAAUGGGAGGAAUCCUGACCCAGCGACGCCGCGUGAACGAUGAAGGCCUUAGGGUUGUAAAGUUCUUUUAUGUGGGAAGAAGGAAGUGACGGUACCACAU
rnacentral:rRNA from 1 species